GAGUAUAAAACAAUAGCGGAUUUGGUCCAAAGUUGCAGUCUUCCAGACUCUCUGUUGUUUAACGAGCAAUUUCCGUAUUCAACGCCGCAUUCGCCUGCAACUCUAGUGAUGAUGCCUCGUUACAUGUUGGCAAUCCUCUUGAUCGGGGCAUUGGUGUCCGCGAUGGUCAUAGACAUGGUUGAGGCUAAAAAGCAGUGUGAGUGUGAUAUAUGUAAGGAAAAAGCGCCGCGUAACUGCAAAAGAUAUUGCGAGAGGAACUGCGAAGAGCAAGUUCAGGAGGCCAGAAAUAGUGGGCUUUGGCCUUUCUAGCACGGCUAAACGACUUUGGAUGACUUAGACACGGCACGAAACUACAGUAUAACACCGAUGAAGACGACAACGAAGAACUCUUUCCAAUCUACAUGUAGAUGAAUAAUAAGGCCAUUGAACAUGAUUAAUAAGCACCA